UCGAGACAUGUCCUAAAAGGGAAAAGCAAAGCCAUGACUUCACCGUCUGGGAAGAGAGGUCCUGAUGCAGAGUGGUGGAUGACUCCCCACAGCAGCCCUGCAGCGGACCAGGAGGUGCAGGACAGCUGCAUCAAGGCACUUGGGGAGGAGUAGAGAUGAACCCUGGGAAGACCCCUCACUGUGGAACUGGGAGCACUGGGAAACCCUCAGGAGUUUCCCAGGGAGGUGAUGGCCUCAUGAAUUGGUGUCUCCAGCAUCACUGCUCAGUGGGUGACAAAUGGGGACACAUCCCCAUCAGG